GAUGAACGCUGGCGGCGUGCCUAAUACAUGCAAGUCGAGCGAACGGACGAGAAGCUUGCUUCUCUGAUGUUAGCGGCGGACGGGUGAGUAACACGUGGAUAACCUACCUAUAAGACUGGGAUAACUUCGGGAAACCGGAGCUAAUACCGGAUAAUAUUUUGAACCGCAUGGUUCAAAAGUGAAAGACGGUCUUGCUGUCACUUAUAGAUGGAUCCGCGCUGCAUUAGCUAGUUGGUAAGGUAACGGCUUACAAAGGCAACGAUGCAUAGCCGACCUGAGAGGGUGAUCGGCCACACUGGAACGGAGAAACGGUCAAGACUCCUACGGGAGGAAGCAGUAGGGAAUCUUCCGCAAUGGGCGAAAGCCUGACGGAGCAACGCCGCGUGAGUGAUGAAGGUCUUCGGAUCGUAAAACUCUGUUAUUAGGGAAGAACAUAUGUGUAAGUAACUGUGCACCUCUUGACGGUACCUAAUCAGAAAGCCACGGCUAACUACGUG
rnacentral:rRNA from 1 species